rnacentral:snRNA from 1 species
GACUUUGCACAGUGGCAGUAUCAUAGCUUGUGAAGUUAAACUGACACGUAAUCAUUGCUAAUUGAAAACUACUCCCAGUUCUCCUUCUCACCUUCCAACUGUUGCCCAUACUUACAAUCAGAUUCGGUCAGAGUA